AAUUUAUUAUUAUAUUUAGUAAAUUUAAUUUCCAAUUAAAAAGUCUUUUCUAAGAUAAAUUA
rnacentral:tRNA from 1 species